rnacentral:lncRNA from 1 species
UUUAUGUACCUACUAAAGAAUUCCCCUCAGAGCAAAUAAUUGUCACAGAAAAGACUAGUAUUUUAUUGAAAUAUAUGCAACAACAUUGGGACAAAAAAUAUAACUCUAAGAAAAGGGAUAUCAGUCCGCCAUCACACGAGCCCAGUAGGAAAAAAACAAGAACAGACACGACUAGGGAUAAUUCAAGGGAAUAUGCGAUGACCCUUAAUGACUUUUGAAUCUGUAUUUAUUAUAAUGUGUACAUAUAAACGUAUUUCAAAUGUAAUUCCACAUAUUAUAUCAUUUCAUAUUUGAAUUUGAUCGUGAACAUCUUUUUGUAUAGCAAACGCAGUGAUGUGAUCCGUUUGGAUCAAUGGUUGCUAAUUGAGGCUGUAUCAUAAUACUAAAGUAAUAAACAAUAAUGGAAAACUGUCAA